rnacentral:tRNA from 1 species
UUUGCAAUGGCUCAGUGGUAGAGCACUUGCCUAGCAUGCAUGAAGCACUGGGUUCGAUCCCCGGCACCAAAU